GGGGAUAUAGCUCAGUUGGUAGAGUGCUUGCCUCACAUGUACAAAACCCUGGGCUCAAUCCCCAGCACUCCCA
rnacentral:tRNA from 1 species